rnacentral:rRNA from 1 species
GACGAACGCUGGCGGCGUGCUUAACACAUGCAAGUCGAACGGAGAGGCCUGCUUUCCCUUGUGGAUUGCGGGUACUCGAGUGGCGAACGGGUGAGUAACACGUGAGUGAUCUGCCCCCAACUUGGGUAUAAGCCUGGGAAACUGGGUCUAAUUCCCGAUAGGACUGCAGGGUGGUGCCUGUGGUGGAAAACGAUUUUCUAGUGGUUGGGGAUGAGCUCGCGGCCUAUCAGCUUGUUGGUGGGGUAAUGGCCUACCAAGGCGGCGACGGGUAGCCGGCCUGAGAGGGUGGACGGCCACAUUGGGACUGAGAUACGGCCCAGACUCCUACGGGAGGCAGCAGUGGGGAAUAUUGCACAAUGGGCGGAAGCCUGAUGCAGCGACGCCGCGUGGGGGAUGACGGCCUUCGGGUUGUAAACUCCUUUCGACCGCGAGGAAGCCACCUGGUUGGAAGGGUGGUGACGGUAGUGGUAGAAGAAGCACCGGCUAACUACGUG